rnacentral:rRNA from 1 species
UAGCCUUGACAUACUACAGAAUUUGACAGAGAUGUUGGAGUGCCUUCGGGAGCUGUAAUACAGGUGCUGCACGGCUGUCGUCAGCUCGUGUCGUGAGAUGUUGGGUUAAGUCCCGCAACGAGCGCAACCCUCGUCCUUAGUUACUAACGGUUCGGCCGAGGACUCUAAGGAGACUGCCUUCGUAAGGAGGAGGAAGGUGAGGACGACGUCAAGUCAUCAUGGCCCUUAUGCCUAGGGCGACACACGUGCUACAAUGGUUAGGAUAAAAAGAAGCGAUACGGUGACGUGGAGCAAAUCUUAAAACCUAAUCUCAGUUCGGAUUGUAGUCUGCAACUCGACUACAUGAAGUUGGAAUCGCUAGUAAUCGUGAAUCAGCCAUGUCACGGUGAAUACGUUCCCGGGUCU